rnacentral:rRNA from 1 species
GACGAACGCUGGCGGCGUGCUUAACACAUGCAAGUCGAACGGAAAGGCCCUGCUUUUGUGGGGUGCUCGAGUGGCGAACGGGUGAGUAACACGUGAGUAACCUGCCCUUGACUUUGGGAUAACUUCAGGAAACUGGGGCUAAUACCGGAUAGGAGCUCCUGCUGCAUGGUGGGGGUUGGAAAGUUUCGGCGGUUGGGGAUGGACUCGCGGCUUAUCAGCUUGUUGGUGGGGUAGUGGCUUACCAAGGCUUUGACGGGUAGCCGGCCUGAGAGGGUGACCGGCGAAGUUGGGACGGAGAUUCGGCACAGAGUGCGAGCGGGAGGAGCAGUCGGGGCGGGUGCACAAUGGGCGGAAGCCCGAUGAAGCAACGCCGCGUGCGGGAUGACGGGGUUCGGGGUAUGGACCGCUGUCGCCCCGGACGAAGCGUGGCAGGCAGGAGGGGGAAAAGAUGCAAAGGCUCACCAGAUG